UAUUUACUAUUCUGUAUUUGCAUUUUGUAAAGUAGUUUUGUGUAGUUUUGAAUGUUAUUAUAAUCUUUAUAGACGAUUUCGCUGUCGUUUUUUUGGUGCGAACGUGUCUCCCAUGUUCGCUGUGUGCUAAUGCAGGGCAGCUUGUUUAAACACUUCUCUUAUUUGUACGUUUAGGAGCAGAGUGCACACAGAAAGGUGGACAGAAGUGGAUUAAUAUGUUUUAAUCGCUUCUCCAGGAAUUGACUACAUCAGACGGCACAUGGGAGAACCUGCCCUGCCUAGCAACCGUUACCAUGCUGCUGACAAUGAGUAUGAAAACGUCAAAUUCACUUUGAAGUUUUAGCUCGGCUAAAUGAAGACGAGUGAAGAAAACUCACAGAGUGAAGUGGAUGUCAGACCUACGGUCCCGUUUUGGAACCCCGGAUUACAGAAAGAGGAACUUUAUCAGCGAACGUCUUUGGAAAGUGAUGGAAAAAGCUGCAGACGGACCGAUACUUACUUUUGCUUUUAAUUUUGAGAAAACCUGGAGAAUUAGAUGUUUAUAUCAGUAUUGUUUCUUUUUCUCUGUAAUUCAGUAGUUCUUAGUGUUUCUAGUUAUGCUUUUCUUAGUUAGUCUUUGCCACUCUAGUUUUAUUUUGUUUCUUUAGUCUGGUUAUUCUUUAGUGAUAGAUUUUUUUGUGCACGCUCCCUCGCCCCUGUCUCUCUCUACUCAGUUGGACUUUCUCCCCUCACACCUGCGAUCAGUUUGCCAAUCAGUUCUUUGUUCAGAAAUCAACCUCCCAAUACUUAAGUUUUGAAUUUCAUCAUUAUUUUUAUUAAAUCAUCAAAUUCA